rnacentral:rRNA from 1 species
UACGUAGGGGGCGAGCGUUGUCCGGAUUUAUUGGGCGUAAAGAGCUCGUAGGCGGCUUGGCAAGUCGGGUGUGAAACCUCCAGGCUCAACCUGGAGACGCCACUCGAUACUGCUAUGGCUAGAGUCCGGUAGGGGACCACGGAAUUCCUGGUGUAGCGGUGAAAUGCGUAGAGAUCCGGAGGAACACCGAAGGCGAAGGCAGUGUCCUGGCGAGUGACUGACGCUGAGGUGCGAAAGCCAGGGGAGCGAACGGG